GGGGAAUAUUGCACAAUGGGGGAAACCCUGAUGCAGCGACGCCGCGUGAAGGAAGAAGGUCUUCGGAUCGUAAACUUCUAUCAGCAGGGAAGAAGUCGUGACUGUACCUGACUAAGAAGCCCCGGCUAACUACGUGCCGGCAGCCGCGGUAAUACGUAGGGGGCAAGCGUUAUCCGGAAUCACUGGGUGUAAAGGGUGCGUAGGCGGUAGGGCAAGUCAGAUGUGAAAGCCCGGGGCUCAACUCCGGGAUUGCAUUUGAAACUGUCUUACUAGAGUGCAGGAGAGGAAAGCGGAAUUCCUAGUGUAGCGGUGAAAUGCGUAGAUAUUAGGAAGAACACCAGUGGCGAAGGCGGCUUUCUGGACUGUAACUGACGCUGAGGCACGAAAGCGUGGGGAGCGAAC
rnacentral:rRNA from 1 species